rnacentral:rRNA from 1 species
GACGAACGCUGGCGGCGUGCUUAACACAUGCAAGUCGAACGGAAAGGCCCUGCUCUUGUGGGGUGCUCGAGUGGCGAACGGGUGAGUAACACGUGAGUAACCUGCCCUUGACUUUGGGAUAACUUCAGGAAACUGGGGCUCAUACCGGAUAGGAGCUCCUGCUGCACGGGGGGGGUUGGAAAGUUUCGGCGGUUGGGGAUGGACUCGCGGCUUAUCAGCUUGUUGGUGGGGUAGUGGCUUACCAAGGCUUUGACGGGUAGCCGGCCUGGGAGGGUGACCGGCCACAUUGGGACUGAGAUACGGACCAGACUCCUACGGGAGGCAGCAGUGGGGAAUAUUGCACAAUGGGCGGAAGCCUGAUGCAGCAACGCCGCGUGCGGGAUGACGGCCUUCGGGUUGUAAACCGCUUUCGCCUGUGACGAAGCGUGAGUGACGGUAAUGGGUAAAGAAGCACCGGCUAACUACGUG